rnacentral:rRNA from 1 species
GCUCAGGAUGAACGCUGGCGGCGUGCCUAAUACAUGCAAGUCGAGCGAACAGAUAAGGAGCUUGCUCCUUUGACGUUAGCGGCGGACGGGUGAGUAACACGUGGGUAACCUACCUAUAAGACUGGAAUAACUCCGGGAAACCGGGGCUAAUGCCGGAUAACAUGUUGAACCGCAUGGUUCUACAGUGAAAGACGGUCUUGCUGUCACUUAUAGAUGGACCCGCGCCGUAUUAGCUAGUUGGUGGGGUAACGGCCUACCAAGGCGACGAUACGUAGCCGACCUGAGAGGGUGAUCGGCCACACUGGAACUGAGACACGGUCCAGACUCCUACGGGAGGCAGCAGUAGGGAAUCUUCCGCAAUGGGCGAAAGCCUGACGGAGCAACGCCGCGUGAGUGAUGAAGGUCUUCGGAUCGUAAAGCUCUGUUGUUAGGGAAGAACAAAUGUGUAAGUAACUGUGCACAUCUGACG